rnacentral:rRNA from 1 species
UACGAAGGGGGCUAGCGUUGCUCGGAAUCACUGGGCGUAAAGGGUGCGUAGGCGGGUCUUUAAGUCGGGGGUGAAAUCCUGGAGCUCAACUCCAGAACUGCCUUUGAUACUGAAGAUCUUGAGUUCGGGAGAGGUGAGUGGAACUGCGAGUGUAGAGGUGAAAUUCGUAGAUAUUCGCAAGAACACCAGUGGCGAAGGCGGCUCACUGGCCCGAUACUGACGCUGAGGCACGAAAGCGUGGGGAGCAAACAGG